rnacentral:rRNA from 1 species
AUUGAACGCUGGCGGCAGGCCUAAUACAUGCAAGUCGAGCGGAGCGGCGGACGGGUGAGUAAUGCCUAGGAAUCUGCCUGGUAGUGGGGGAUAACGUCCGGAAACGGGCGCCAAUACCGCAUACUAUCAGAUGAGCCUCGGUCGGAUUAGCGAGUUGGUGGGGUAAAGGCUUACCAAGGCGACGAUCCGCAAACGGUCGGAGAGGGUGAUCAGUCACACUGGAACUGAGACACGGUCCAGACUCCGACGAGAGGCAGCAGUGGGGAAUAUUGGACCAUGGGCGAAAGCCUGAUCCAGCCCUGCCGCGUGUGUGAAGAAGGUCUUCGGAUUGUAAAGCACUUUAAGUAGAGAGGCGUUACCAACAGAAUAAGCACCGGCUAACUUCGUGCCAGCAGCCGCGGUAAUAC